rnacentral:rRNA from 1 species
UACAGAGGUCUCAAGCGUUGUUCGGAUUCAUUGGGCGUAAAGGGUGUGUAGGUGGCGCCGUAAGUCGGGGUGUGAAAUUUCGGAGCUUAACUCCGAAACUGCAUUCGAUACUGCGGUGCUUGAGGACUGGAGAGGAGACUGGAAUUCAUGGUGUAGCAGUGAAAAUGCGUAGAGAUCAUGAGGAAGACCAGUGGCGAAGGCGGGUCUCUGGGCCAUAACUGACGCUGAGAAGCGAAAGCAUGGGGAGCGAACAGG